UCCUUUUUUUUUUUUUUAAUGCAUAAUGAGAAGAACGAUAUCAGAAACCAGAGAAGCAAUUAAAAACAAAAAUAAACAAACUAGGGACUAGGGAUAGGAGUCGUGAUACGCCCAUACCCGGUAUGGGGAGGUAGUUGCCCAUACCGGGGGUAAAAGCGUAAUUUCGUGCACAAAAUUGAAAUGCACGCGACCUACUUCUCAACACCACUUCAUUUCAGCGUUUUCACUCUCUCAAGUCUCAAACUCAGUCACUCCCUCAAUUCUCGGAAAUUCUUAGUCGUUGGAGAUCGCUCUUCAGCAUCGGUCGUCACUCUUCAGCGUCGGUCGUCACUCGUCGGAGUCUUUUCUCAGCUCUUCAGCGUCGGUCGUCGGACAAAAUGGCAUUGGCACGACCAUUGGAGUUGGGGUUUAUAUUUUGACCGGUACUGUUGCUAGAGAGUCUACUGGACCUUCCCUGACCCUAUCCUUUUUGUUUGCGAGUGUAGCUGCUGCUCUAUCUGCAUUGUGCUAUGCAGAACUUGCCAGUCGGUGUCCUUCUGCGGGCACUGCCUAUCAUUACUCAUAUGUAUGCGUUGGAGAAAUAUUCGGUUUUGUAAAUUGUCAAUGAAAUAUUCGAUUUUGUAAAUUGUCAACGAAGUACUCGAUUUGCUAUACUCUAAUACAAUGAAGUACUCGAUUUUGUAAAUUGUCAAUGAUCGGACAAUAAUAUUGAAUAUAUCGUUGCGUAUUUUAUGUUA